rnacentral:ncRNA from 2 species
CACUUAUCCAGAGAGGUAGAGGGACUGGCCCGAUGAUACCUCAGCAACAGAUUCUAUUUCAUAGAACACUGUGCUAAUUCCACAAGCGUUGAGCUUGAAAGAUAAGUU